CUUUACUGUAGCCUGGUAUUGGGUUCGGGCUUUGACUGCGCAGGAUAGGUGGGAGACUGAGAAGUGUGCCUUGUGGGGCACACGGAGUCAACGGUGAGAUCCCACUCUGUCAGAGCUAGAAUUCUAACAUUCACCCGUAAUCCGGGGAAGGAACCGUAUCAGGUGGGCAGUUUGACUGGGGCGGUCGCCUCCUAAAAGGUAACGGAGGCGCGCAAAGGUGUUCUCAGGCUGGUUGGAAAUCAGCCGUAGAGUGUAAAGGCAGAAGAACGCUUGACUGUGAGAGUGACAACUCAAGCAGGGUGGAAACACGGCCUUAGUGAUCCGACGGUAUGCGCGUGGAAGUGCCGUCGCUCAACGGAUAAAAGUUA
rnacentral:rRNA from 1 species